UUUCGGUAUCCUGUGUUGCUUACCUAUCGAAAGGAAUUCGUUCGUUUCGCCGUCCCUUUCCGCCCGAUGCCCUCAAUGGGUGUGGGGUGGACAUCAGGCAAGAUCCGUGUUCCUGGCAUGUCCCGCCCGGUUGGGUGGACUGCCUUGGCCCAUGGCGUCAUUGCCCGUUCUCUCGGAUGCGGAAUGCCAUGCGUGGGCGCGGGGUCUCGGCCUUCGCUAGCCCAAGCUACGCAUUUGUCCCUUGACACGAACGACUGCCGCGCCCGUCUUGACCUCGCGUGCCUUUGGCUCGACGGGGCUCAUGCGGGUGUCGGCGUCGCCAAGGAAUGCUACCUGGUUGAUCCUGCCAGUAGUCAUAUGCUUGUCUCA
rnacentral:misc_RNA from 1 species